UACAGAGGGUGCAAGCGUUAAUCGGAUUUACUGGGCGUAAAGCGCGCGUAGGUGGCUAAUUAAGUCAAAUGUGAAAUCCCCGAGCUUAACUUGGGAAUUGCAUUCGAUACUGGUUAGCUAGAGUAUGGGAGAGGAUGGUAGAAUUCCAGGUGUAGCGGUGAAAUGCGUAGAGAUCUGGAGGAAUACCGAUGGCGAAGGCAGCCAUCUGGCCUAAUACUGACACUGAGGUGCGAAAGCAUGGGGAGCAAACAGGAUUAGAUACCCUGGUAGUCCAUGCCGUAAACGAUGUCUACUAGCCGUUGGGGCCCUUGAGGCUUUAGUGGCGCAGCUAACGCGAUAAGUAGACCGCCUGGGGAGUACGGUCGCAAGACUAAAACUCAAAUGAAUUGACGGGG
rnacentral:rRNA from 1 species